rnacentral:lncRNA from 1 species
CCAGUAUUUUCUAUGUGCCAGUGCCUGAUCGAUAACGCACAAGCACUCGUCGACACGACUAUUGACGCUGCAUCGGGACAUUAAAGUGACACUGUAACCGGUUGUACCAGUUGUCACGAAUUAGGUUUGAAAACGGUCAUGUUCACAUUUAAAAGCUAUGUUGGUCAUGCCAAUAACACACAAUCAAGUUAGGUAACACAUUAAAACUGUCAUUUCUAGCGUUGUGUUCAUAAAAACAGAGUUAUCUUACCUCCGCAUCUGACUCUCUGGGGUCAAUGUGUACACAGCUGUGAGCGCAGUAGCCCACUGCGCAGCUGCAGAGCGGUUUGAAGUUCAACGGUCCCGCCCAACAACGAACGAUUCGUUCAUGUAUCUGUCACUCAUCCAAUGGGCUUCUGGGAACUGUAGUGUGAGAACAAGGUAAAAGGGCUUUCAAGGCUUUCAAGUCUGUUCAGCAACUGAAAUUGUCAAACUCACAGCAGGGCAGAGAUAAAAUAGAUUAACUAAUGUUAAUUAUUCUUUGCAUUAUUUUUAAAAUGAUCGUCUGUAUUUAUAAGUUUUAAUCUUAUGAGGUACCGUUGCCCAUGGAAACAAUUCAAAUAUCACUUCAUGGUACUUUAUCUUUUAUCGGUUUUUUAUUAACCUAUAAUAAAAAAAUAAAAUACUGUGUGUGAAUAUAGGCUAUGUGAUUUAACCUAGUUUUUAUUAUUAUUAACUAUUUGUCUUUGACGACUUUGAAGGCUGAACUGACGAUUUUGAUGCAGUUUCUAUUAGUAUGUAAUGUUACCAACUGUGUGCCAAAUCAUCAUCUGACACAAGAGCAAAACUGUCCCGAACAAACUACAGGGAACCUGCACUGACGGAAAAGUGACUCUCAGGGUGCAGAGGGCAGAUGCUGUUGAUGCUGGUGUCCUUGCUCUGCUGUGUCCCUGCAGCCGAGGCCUGUCUGCAGUGUGACCGCAGUAUCAGGGUUUUACUCGAGGACUUUAUCCUGUCUGGUCCCACUGUGAACGACCAGAUUGAAUUGAAAAAAAUUAGUAACAAUGCCUAUGUGACCUACAGAGAGACCAGCCAGGAGCGAAAAGGAGUCAUUGAUCCCACCACUCUGUACAGAGUCAGAACUGAGUACCAGAGUGAAUUUGACCACUUUUUGAAAACCCCACACACUGGAUCUGUAACAUAUGAAGCCAUUCAGAUCCUGGAGAAAGGCAGGAAGAUCUUAGAAAAACACUUGGACAUAUUCAUCCGUGAUGGAUUGUGCUCCAACAAGUGUGGGCUUUUGAAACGAAGAGUAAUGGAUUGCUUCUCUUGCCGCUACAAGAUAUACAUCUGUCCCUCUCCCUCAGGCCAGCAGGACUGCGGCGAGUACCCAGUGCAGGCUGAGGAGGGAGGCCAGGCAGUGUUGAACUGUUUCCUUCCGUGGCAUCGCCUUCUGUUGGGAAGACCGGAGUAUCACUACUCCUGGGCCCCCGGUGUGCCAGGAACCAAAAACUCGCCACUUUGCCUGACCACACUCUCCGCCCUGUCCUCACGCUGCCCUCCCUGCUUCAUGGACACAACUACUCACCUUUCCAACCUCCUGCGGGCCUGCUGGUGCCUCUCAUCGCCAUGGUUACUGCUCUGAGUCUGGCAGCGAGCGUAGGCCUCACAGUUGUCCUGGGAAUGCUGAUGAGUCAGAGGAGAGCCAAGGAGGAGCCAAGGAGAAUGAAGACGGAGGGGAAAAACACACAAAACACGGUGUGAUGAAGAUACCGUAUAACAGUAAAUACACACCUAGAAGACAGGGAGGUUUUACUCACUUCAGGUUGGACUUUUUUCUCAGUGGCUAAAUAAAUUUCCCAACACAAAGUUUCAAGUCAUGUCUAGAAAACUCCACAGAAGUGAGAAAACAUGUUGGCAACAUUGAAGCUACAUGAAGCAUAAAGGGUGUCCACAUGUUGUUGCCUAUCUUAGACAAUAAAAAGAGCUCAAACAUGGACAACUAUGGUGAAUCAAACACUGAGAUCUCACUCAUAAAACAGAAAGUUGGUGGUGUAGUGAAACUAGAGCGAACAACACACACACACUUAAACACACCCACUUAAACACACCCACUAAAAAUCUCCCAGAAACAGCUCAACUUUCCGUAACAUUAAGCACAAGCUCGCCAGAACACAUCAGUGGCCUGACCCCAGCAGGGUCACGUUCACCCUGAAUAGAGUGAUGGCGUUGUCACGUAAGAGGAAUCAGGGAUGAGGUAAAUCUCCUGGAUUACAGUGGGGUUUUUCAGAGAUUAAUAGCCCCAGCCAUUUAACUAAUCCUGGAUAAUCCCCAUGUGGGAGGCAGGGGGAGACAUGGAGGGGUAAAACAGAUGUUUUCAUCAGGGUUUCUUUUGAUGUAUAUUAACCUAAAUAUUCAUUCAGAGAGAGAGAGAGAGAGAUAGAGUAAGGGCAACUUUUUGCAUUACCAAUAAUGUUCUCAUUCUGAAAUCCCCGUUUUCUUGCGACUUUAAUUCUCUGUUUCCGUCUGCCUACAGUAUUCUCUCUGUACAUUUUGAUGACAAACUAUUUACACAAGUUCUGUCAUGAUCUCCAUCCCCGCCUCCUCCUCGUCAGCUCCUCUACACGUCCGGCACGUGUCGUAUUUCUGUUCACUGUUGUCUUUUUUCAUCUUUCAUGCCUUGUGCUAUUGCCAUCACCAAGCUUCUUGGGAAAGGAAGUAAUAUGUCAUCAUCAACAACAACAAAUUCACACCCAUCUCUCAGCAUUGUGUCUGGGCAGAUGUAUUCUUGGCUGAUUCUUUGCCAACCAUGACGCUCUGAUGUGCUAACAUAGGAAAGAUAAUGAAACAUCUGAACCAAAUAAAACUGAAAACUAGUGAUUGAUUGAUGUAUGAGUCAUCCAGGAUGACAGAAACUAAGUCACCUCUGAAAUCAUUCAUCGUUGCUCAUCGUUUGUCAGGGUAAUUUCUAAUAAAGAUUUUGAGUCAGGGGUAUUCUGUUUGGGUUAUGACAACUGCAACAAGGCUGUGGAGUGUUACCGUAUGAGGGUGGGUGUGGAUGGUGACAGGAUGUAUGUGCGGUGCUGUUUCCUGUCGGGGUGCUGAGAUGGGGGCGAAUGUUGAAAAAAUAACCCGUUCUUUAAGACUCCCUCACACAGAGACACUCGCGUCACACUCCUCCAACUCAACAGACCUCAUCACUUCACUGUGGGUUUUAUAUGUGUGCGUUCAAGCCUAAAGUGCAGGUUGAGGCUACAGUAAAUGCAUGCUCAGCGGCUUUGCUGACAGCCGUGAUGAACUGUGUACCAAAGUCUGUGUGGAUUGAAAUUGCAGCCUCUGCAGAAGGAGAGCAUGACAAAGUGGGAGUGCUGCUGAGGGGCAGGCAGACAGCGGUGAGGGAGGGAAAGGAGGAAGUGGCGACAUGAAGAAAGUGGAGACAGAGGUUUGAGUGGGAGACAUAUGUGGUAAGGCAGAGUCAUUUUAACAUGGGUUAUGAGGAAGUGAAGACAAAGACGUCAGAUUACACUUUGAUACAAACUAACCCACGCUGCACACAAAGUAUAUUUUUCUGUGGGUUAUAGGACAAUGUGUCCUGUAUCCAGGGGUGGAAAAGACAUCAAUAUCCUCCUCAAUUAGAAAUACUAGACUUAAAUAUUACUCAUGUAGGAUUGGGACAAGUUGUAUUGAAAACUACUUAAGUAAAAGCACAAAAAGACUAUUCUUCAGAUGUACUUUAAGCCCCUAAAACUUUAAAUCUGAGGUGUUUCUAUAAUUAAAUAUUCACAACUAAUAAGCAACAAUCAAAGUAGAAGUUCUUUUUCUAAGCAUCCUUAGUUCUUUCUUAUUAAGAGUUUUAAUGUCAAUAAAAUGAAU